rnacentral:misc_RNA from 1 species
AAGAGUUAGGGUCUCCUAGGCCCGACCUCCCAACCCUGUGUUUAACAAACCUUUUGUUGCUUCGGCGCGCCCGUCUUUACUGACCGCCGGGGGACCGUCGAGAGACGCCCUCUGGCCAGUGCCCGCCGAUGGCCAACUAUUAAACUCUGAAUAAACAUGCCUCUGUCUAAGUCAUUUAUUAAAUAAAGCA